CCUACGGGAGGCAGCAGUGAGGAAUAUUGGUCAAUGGACGAGAGUCUGAACCAGCCAAGUAGCGUGAAGGAUGACUGCCCUAUGGGUUGUAAACUUCUUUUAUAAAGGAAUAAAACGAGGCACGUGUGCCUUUUUGCAUGUACUUUAUGAAUAAGGAUCGGCUAACUCCGUGCCAGCAGCCGCGGUAAUACGGAGGAUCCGAGCGUUAUCCGGAUUUAUUGGGUUUAAAGGGAGCGUAGAUGGGUUGUUAAGUCAGUUGUGAAAGUUUGCGGCUCAACCGUCAAAUUGCAAUUGAUACUGGCAGUCUUGAGUACAGUUGAGGUAGGCGGAAUUCGUGGUGUAGCGGUGAAAUGCUUAGAUAUCACGAAGAACCCCGAUUGCGAAGGCAGCUUGCUAAACUGUGACUGACAUUGAUGCUCGAAAGUGUGGGUAUCAAACAGGAUUAGAUACCCUUGUAGUC
rnacentral:rRNA from 1 species